AUGCCGGAUCCAGUUACUGCCAGUGCUGCUGUAGGAUGGGGCGUAUCCGCAGCAGGCUGGCUCAUCUCGCCUAUCAUUUCAAGGGUACUCAACAAAGGUUUCGCCCACCUCGACUUCGAUGCAGCGGAGAAGCUGAAGAUGCUUGAUGUACAAGUUCUACAACUGCAGCGCCUGAUGGAAGUAGCCGACGAGAGCACUUACAAGGUCCAAGAUGGCAAGUCAGAUGGCAGUACGAUGGAUUCGCUGAAGAAGAAUCUACGGUCUGCAAUGCCGAGCUGCCUCCUAAAAGAUAAGAAGAGUGGCAAGACAAAAGUGGAAUUGAAGAAGAGCCUAGAGAGUAUAGAAAGUGCUAUAAGUGAUGCAUGUAACCUUUUGAAACAACUGAAGUUGACAGCUCUAAGUAGUGAUAAUGGGAGACCAGUUGUUGCUGCCAAUUCACAUCAUGCAGUCACUACUGGAGGUCCUCCGCCACGAGUAAUUGGCACUAGUAGAAAAAGGGUCAUACGUGAAGCCCAAUAG
rnacentral:rRNA from 1 species